rnacentral:tRNA from 1 species
GGGUUGGUAGUACUAAUUGGUAAAACAACAAGCUGUUAACUUGUAGGAUGUGAGUUCGAGUCUCACCUAACCCG